UAAGAUAGAGGCGCGGAAAGCAAGAGUAAUCUGUGGAGCGGGAGUAAAGAAGCAGGUGAAAGGGCCAACGCCGAAGUGCAAGGGCAGCCGUGCUCUUGUGCUGGGCCGUCAGCGAAAGUUGCCGGACUGUCGCUAGAGUACUAGCGGAGCGCUAUCU
rnacentral:ncRNA from 1 species